CGGAAUUAUUGGGCGUAAAGAGCUCGUAGGCGGUUUGUCGCGUCUGCUGUGAAAUCCGGAGGCUCAACCUCCGGCCUGCAGUGGGUACGGGCAGACUAGAGUGCGGUAGGGGAGAUUGGAAUUCCUGGUGUAGCGGUGGAAUGCGCAGAUAUCAGGAGGAACACCGAUGGCGAAGGCAGAUCUCUGGGCCGUAACUGACGCUGAGGAGCGAAAGGGUGGGGAGCAAACAGGCUUAGAUACCCUGGUAGUCCACCCCGUAAACGUUGGGAACUAGUUGUGGGGUCCAUUCCACGGAUUCCGUGACGCAGCUAACGCAUUAAGUUCCCCGCCUGGGGAGUACGGCCGCAAGGCUAAAACUCAAAGGAAUUGACGGGGACCCGCACAAGCGGCGGAGCAUGCGGAUUAAUUCGAUGCAACGCGAAGAACCUUACCAAGGCUUGACAUAUACGAGAACGGGCCAGAAAUGGUCAACUCUUUGGACACUCGUAAACAGGUGGUGCAUGGUUGUCGUCAGCUCGUGUCGUGAGAUGUUGGGUUAAGUCCCGCAACGAGCGCAACCCUCGUUCUAUGUUGCCAGCACGUAAUGGUGGGAACUCAUGGGAUACUGCCGGGGUCAACUCGGAGGAAGGUGGGGAUGACGUCAAAUCAUCAUGCCCCUUAUGUCUUGGGCUUCACGCAUGCUACAAUGGCCGGUACAAAGGGCUGCAAUACCGCGAGGUGGAGCGAAUCCCAAAAAGCCGGUCCCAGUUCGGAUUGAGGUCUGCAACUCGACCUCAUGAAGUCGGAGUCGCUAGUAAUCGCAGAUCAGCAACGCUGCGGUGAAUACGUUCCCGGGUCUUGUACACACCGCCCGUCAAGUCAUGAAAGUCGGUAACACCUGAAGCCGGUGGCCUAACCCUUGUGGAGGGAGCCGUCGAAAGUGGGAUCGGUAAUUAGGACUAAGUCGUAACAAGGUAACCCC
rnacentral:rRNA from 1 species